rnacentral:rRNA from 1 species
ACGGGAGGCAGCAGUGAGGAAUAUUGGUCAAUGGGCGGAAGCCUGAACCAGCCAAGUCGCGUGAAGGAUGAAGGUAUUAUGUAUUGUAAACUUCUUUAGACGUAGAGAAAUAAGGUGCUCGUGAGCACUGAUGCUAGUAUACGUAGAAUAAGGAUCGGCUAACUCCGUGUCAGCAGCCGCGGUAAUACGGAGGAUCCGAGCGUUAUCCGGAUUUAUUGGGUUUAAAGGGUGCGCAGGCGGCACGUUAAGUCAGUGGUGAAAUGUCAGGGCUCAACCUUGGCACUGCCAUUGAAACUGGCGAGCUAGAGUGCGUUUGGGGUGCAUGGAAUGUGUGGUGUAGCGGUGAAAUGCAUAGAUAUCACACAGAACGCCGAUCGCGAAGGCAGUGCACCAAGCCGCAACUGACGCUCAGGCACGAAAGCGCGGGGAUCGAACAGGAUUAGAUACCCUGGUA